UAAUAAUAUCGAUUAUCUAAUUAUUAAGAAUAAUAAUUAUUAAUAAUUAUUAAUAAAUAAUAAUAAUUAUUAUUAAUUAUUAAUAAUUAAUUAUAAAUAAUAAAUUAAUAAUAAUAUUGAUUAUUAUUAAAAAUAAUAAUUAUUAAUAAAUAAUAAUAAAUAAUAUUAAUUUAUUAAUAAUUAAUUAUAAAUAAUAAAUUAAUAAUAAUAAUUAUCUAAUUAUUAACAAUUAAUUACAAGUAAUAAAUUAAUAAUAAUUAUUAUCUAAUUAUUAAUAAUUAAUUAUAAAUUAUAAAUUAAUUAAUUAUUUAAUUAUUAAAGCAAUAAAUAAUGAAUUAAAUAUAUUAAUUAGAUUAAUUAAUAAUUACUGCCAUUAAAAUUAAAUUUAGAUUUUAAUUAACCUUGUUCUCAUCGAGGAACAAGCUAGUUCCAGAAAACGGGUGGAACAGCAGUUCCAGCCUUAUACCAGCUUGUUUUAGAAACCCGAGAACUACUGUUCCCGGGAACCAAACAUAAC
rnacentral:lncRNA from 1 species